AUAAUGAUGAACUUCACAAUAUGGUGAAUGUGCUCGAUGGUUAUCGUGAUGCUCCUUUCCAAUAAAUAUAGAGGAUCUUAUUCUAGUGACAUGAUGAUUGAUGCUUGACUGCCAUUUGACAAAGACAAAUAUUCUCGCUCAAUAUCCAUAUUAAUCUCAUCAUGUAGACUAGCCUACCGGCACAGCCUAACAGACUACCGGUACUGUAUCUGCCAGCUGUUGGCUAGAGCGCACAUUCCAAGACCAGACUGGCAGCAGAGAGAGGCCACCUUGGGCAUAAGAGGUGAGGCCUACGCUUAACAUCACACCUCCAGCUAACCCCACCCCCAAUCUCCAGCUUCAGCCAGACAUUCUCAAAUUGAAUUAAGGUCCUGUUCUGUGCUGCACCCCCACGGACCCCUUCGAGAGCCCUCCUGAACCCCCUUGGCCCGGUCCUGUUCCCCUCAUCCAGCCGCCUCGGACUAAUUAAAACCGAUGUGGCCUUGUCUUCGCUGGAUUACCCCUAACGAGGAUUCACUGACUCCACCAGCAUGUGCCUCUUGAUGAGAGAGAGAGAGAGAGAGAGAGAGACAGAGACAGAGACAGACAGAAAAAGAAAUGGGAGGAUUUGUCCAGGGAACCUUAGCCUUGAAAUCCAACACUUAAUUCACUACAGAUGAUACAGAAAAGGUGGAAGAGAGAGAGAGAGAGAAAGAGACAAAUAUACUUAUGUUGAUAGUUUAAAUCACUAGUGUGUGUAUUGUUUUAAAAACUGUUAGUGAAACAAUUGAAACGUGGCCUUAUUGUGAAGAGAGUCAUAAAAUGGACCUCUGGACAGCCC
ensembl:lncRNA